CUAAAUGUUUGUUAAAGUGAAUGAUAUUCUCAUCAGAUAUUUUUUCCACUUUUUCCUAUCACCCCACUCAAAAGGAUUCCCCAAACCAUAACAAAAGUGAACAACUACAGAGCAAAGCUGGAAGGUAUUUCUCCUAGUGUUGUACCCCUAAUUUGAAGGACAAUAUUAGUUUAGAAAUAGGCUUAUUCACUUAUAUGCCAUGGGCUAAUAAGUGUCAGGAGAAGAUAUUCAAUAUCUUACCCUCUCCAGCGCAGAGCCAUUUUUCUUCACAAUGUCAAGCUGGCUAUGGAGGUGGAGAAAAUCUAUUGUUUUGGUUACCUGAAGUUACCUAUUUAAGUGCAGAAAGCUUAUAUCCUUCUUCCCCCAAACAAAUAGGAAGCAGUGUUGCUUGUGUCUGAACACCCUGAUGGAGGGACCCUAGGAAGCUGAGAGCAGACUCUGAGCAGGGUCUGCUUCUUGAGUGCUAUUUCUUGAGUUGUCUGCUUAGGUGAGCUGGGCCCACAUCAGCCUCCCUGAUUCCCUGCUCCCUGUGAUCCUGGGAGCAGCGGGAGCUUCCGGGGUGCUCUCUCCCCGUCCCAGGCUCAUCCCUGUCACUGCUGACCCCAUCAUGAGCAGAUCAGAACUAAGAAGAUGUGGUCUUAGCAAGGACCUGCACAGGAACCAGAGACAGAGGAGUGGGGACUUAGUCAGUCCUGGAGUCCUGGGGGGACCUUUCAAAAACAGUUAUGGAGGCAUAGACAGUGCUUCUCCAUUUGUGUUCUGACUUUCAGGAAGAAGCAAUAAUUGAAAGCACUUCCUAAAUACUUUCCAUCGACGAUGGGCAGCCACAGUGUAUGUGUUCUCUGUGCUCCAGACUGAAGUGUGUUCCCCAGAAAGAACAGCAACUGUGAUGAUAUUAAGGGAACAGAAGCAAAGUUGCUUCUCUGAAAGAAUCUGGAAAACAGAUUUCAAAACUUCAUUGGAUGUUUCUUCAUACCUAGGGAUCUUUAUCCUUUUGGCACAAAGAUAAUAUUUUCAGUUGAAGAGGGAUCCCAUGUAAACUGAGUAUUUAUGAUUGUAACUCAAAGUUUGGCACUGAACAACGUCUAUCAUCUUUAUCAUGACUAAACAGAUUCAUUUUUGAUAUUUAAGAGGUUUUUUUUUAAAAAAAACAAAACAAAACAAAAGGUGAAUAUUUUUUAAACAGCCCACGCUGCUCAUUUGGUAUUUCCAUUCCUGCGUUUUCUUCAGUAGUUCGAAGAAACUGAACCAGAGCUGUCUCUUUAAGACUCCUCCCUGAUUACCUAGGUUUCUUUCCCUUUUUUUCUUAGUAAUAACAAAACUCAAAGAGGAGGUGGAUGUAAUGUUACUAGUAAAGAAAGACAACUGGAUUCUAGCCUAACGCAGGCGGCACUUUGUUUCUGACACUGAAAUCUUUGUAAAAUCCCAUGAAACUGUUCCUGGGAGUCGCAGCAAGAGGACUUUAUGGGACUUAAAUUCUCUUUGCUUUGUUGGUAAACAGUGUUCUUCCGAUUAUGAAUGGUGAUUAGUUGAUUCAGAGGCUACAGGAUUUAAAAAGAAAAGAAGGAAGCCAAGAUGUACAGUGACUUCAGGUGAUUCCCUCAUUCUUGAAACAGGGGCACUGGCUGCCCCUUAAGUCAGGUCCUCAGAUUAGAAAUGAGAAGGUAGCCCUUAGGAAACAGCAGCAAUAGCUGCUCUUGAGGAUGUAUUUUAGUGGAGGGAGGUUUUCUGGUUUGGGACUGAAACAAUUUGGGCAAACUGUUGUGCUUAAUCCGUGUAAUUUGUCACCAGUUGUAUGGUUUUUGCCUUGAUCCCAGGUCUUUAAACCUGGGUAGGGUUUCUUUUUAAGAUAAUGAGGGUCUUGUCUUCCAGCAGCGCAGACACAAGGGCCAGUAAGACUGCAGUUCUCAGUCUUGCAGCUGUGUUGAGGGAUUAUCCACUUACUACACUAAGUGCUCUGAUUCAGAGUGGCCGUUUUUGGGUAACACAGCUAAUAUGAACUUGUGUUAUCUUAGUUAAAGUGCAAAAAAUUACUACUGAAUGUGGCAGAAAGAAUUAAAUUUGGUUUUGGUUUGUUUUUAGUAAUUUCAUUGAAGUAUAGGUGACUCCCAAUGUUUGUUAGUUUCAGGUGUACAGCAAAAUGAAUCAGCCAUACACACACACACAUAUACAUACAUCCAUUCUUUUCCAGAUUCUAUCCCCAUAUAAGCUAUCACAGGGUAUUUAAUAGUUUUCCUUGAGAUACCGAGUAGGUCCUGGUUACCAAUCGACUUAGUAUAUAGUAGUGUGUAUAUGCCAGUCUCAACCUUCCAAUCCAUACAAAGGAUUAAAUUUUAAAAGCAUAAAUUUUAAACCAUGAUGAAUACAAUUUGCGGGUGGGGAGCUGCACCCAAAAUUCCCAGGCCAGGGAUCAAACCUUCAUAGCAGUGGCAGCCUGCCGUGGCAAUGCUGGAUCCUUAACCUGCUGUACCACAAGGGACGUUCCAAAACAAUUUGGAAACGAAUGUCCCACUUACUGUUUCACAUUGAACAAGUGUAUUGGUUUCCCUGACUCUGCUGUGCCAGCUAACUCUUAGUAAAUGCAGUUUAAUUGUGCACCUUCAGAAAAAAAAAGAUGUGGGCCGAUAAAUUUUGUGGGUAUUUACGUGAAGGUUGUGUGUCCUACUAUAAAUGUCUACAAUGAGUGUUUUGCCUGCAGAUGUUUAUAAAAUUAAUUUAUUAACUUCAUUGCUUAGAGGUAAUUAAAUAUUAUCUGUCGGAAAUGAUCAUUAGUUUGACCCUUACCUGCCCUUGCAGUGUAUGUCUGUGAGCAUUUUGAUUACUUUGGAAGAUAACAGUGGUUUCUUAUUGGCAAGGGAUGAACGUAAAAACCAAAGCGAACACUGUGCCUAAAAGGCAUUGACAUUUUAAAACAGACAUUGUUCACGAGUUGCUGCUUUAAAGAAAAAUGCAACUUCGGUCAGUGUUUUAAUCAAUCCUUCUUUUCCUUCAACUUUUUGUUGAAAUUUUACUGAUUUUGAAACAUUUGGCACUAACAGAGAAAUAUUUAUUAAACUAUGUUCUUUCAUCUAAUACUGCUAAGUAAAUACUAGUAAUGCCCAGUAUGUUCUUUUAAACUGUUACUACAGAUUUAAAUGUGGGCCCUUAUUGCUGUCAGAGAUCUUAACCUUAUUAUUAUUUUUUUUCUUUUUACGACAACCAGCAAUGGUUUGGUGCUAAUGGGCAGAACCUCCUUAAGGCCUGCCGUGUGUCUGAGGGCUCUGACCACAGCUCAGCCUGAAGCAGCUGCAGGCGUCUGGCAGGGGCUCAGGAGGAGGGACUCCUCUUUCUGCAAAGAAUCUCACUCUAGUCCCCAGUCUUUGCAGAGCCUCAUCCCCUUCAAGGAGUUUCCUGAAGAGAAGAAGGUGAGGGAGGUGACAGUAGAGACAGGCCCCGAUUAUGAAGCAGGUGAUUGAACUUUAAAUGGGGUCCCUGUGCCUGUUCUCCUGAACCAGCAAAAUGGCUGUCAGUAACCUGCUAAUACUGUGAGCCUUUUCUUUGUGAAUUGAAGGAAGAGAUUAAAAA
rnacentral:lncRNA from 1 species